rnacentral:lncRNA from 1 species
GCGGGUCUCUACAUACACCAAUGCGUUGAUCGGGAGCUAAGCAAUUGAAGCAGUGUCUGCUAGCCUUUGCCUUGAGCAGUUGAAGCCACUGCCCAACGGUGUGUGGGGAUGCUCUAAGCCUAUCCUAAGCUGGGAUCGCCCUCACACCUAUCCGGUCAUGAAUGCUCUUCUAUCCAGGUCCAAGCAGAGACCAUACCAAAGUAGCCUGCUUGCGCGACGUCCGCCUUCUCUCUUCAUGGAGCCAUACCUGCUUUCUAUGAUUUGACGAGUCCUUGGGGAAUCUUGGCUUGAAGGUCCUUGGCUUCAAGAGUGCAUCCUUGUACGAUACCCGGUGGUUGGUCGGCUUUACCAUGACUGAGGGAAUCCGGCGAGGGGCAGCAGGUGCCGUGUCACCCCCCUAUGCUGUCCCCAGAUUCCUGCUCCCUUCUUUCUGCUACUGCCAGAGCCUUCUCCGUCUUCAAUGCCUGCUCAUUGAUGUGACGAGAGUAUGGGCUGUCCUCCUCUGAAUCCGAGCAGUAGAGUAGGUCGAGGGCCUCCUCCGCAGCGUGCGAAGGAGCCGGUGAAUUUUGGUUGGCUUUGGUGGUAGGUUGCAGGAUGAGGUGACCGAGCAUCGCCGGUUGUGUGGUGGGGUUUGGCUGGGAGGCUACGGUGGAGCUUGGCCUCCGCCAGUGUGGGUUGCUCCGCGGACUCCGCGGUCAUGGCGCUCUUGAGCAAGUUUUGUGUGGCCAAGUUCUCUGAUGUUGUAAUGUGGAGUGCAUGGCAAUGGCAUACAAGAAACAAUUUCAUUU